rnacentral:rRNA from 1 species
AUGCGGACUCAAGGCAUUUUCGGGAGAACAUACGGUUCUUCAACGGCCACUUCUCCUUCACAACCCUCGGCGUCACGCCUCGAUGAAAGCUACACAAACAUGAAGUCUGGGGUGUACACGUUCCGGGCGCAUGGCACCAUCUACCACAACGUUCAUUCCUUCGGGCCAACGUCCCGUACAGAGCAUCUACAGUUGUACUUCUACGACGACGACCCAGGCCUAACCCAUGGCAAGGCUGCCACCGAGCAAUUAGACCAGGAUGUCGUCAGAAAGUUAGUGGACAUACUCAAGGAAAACCCAUACUCCCAGCAGUUCAGGAGUUUGGGUGCGCAUAGGGACAACCUCGACGAUUACAGGAUAGACCUCAACACUGACCAGAGACUAGACCAACGGAAGUAUAAUAGACCUCUGUCAUCUGAGGUCGCUGCAAUUUGGGUGGAGGGCACUGACCUAGCGAAGAGGUUUGAUCGUAGGAUUACACUUUGCGGGAAUGACAACCAGAGGCACAGUAUACAUGUGACGGCUGGCUCAUAUGACCCACUCUCUUACCCACUCUUCUACCCAAGGGGGGAGCUCGGUUGGCACCCGAAACUACCUAAACGUGACGUCCCUUGGCCGGUUGUGCAACAACCAAGAGGUAGACGUGAUGAUGAUGAUGAUGAGGAUGAUGCAGGUAAGCCUUAUGUGUAUUCUGUCGUUUAG